UUUCCGUAGGUGAACCUGCGGAAGGAUCAUUAAAAAAUAGGACUUCCAAUGGGAGUUCAUUAAUAAUCCUACCCUUUGUGAAUUUGUUUGUUUGAAAUAAUUUUUUUUCCAAAAAAUUAUUGAAUGUCUUUCCCUGUUUUUGGUUGAAGCGUAAAAGUGGAGACCAAGCAGGGGAAUGGCAAACAUUAAUUUUUUUGAAAAAAGACCUUUUUUUAAAAUUAAACUUUUUGUAUUCAUUUGUCUAAAAUUAUUUUUAUAAUAUAAAAACAACUUUUGACAAUGGAUCUCUUGGUUCUCGCAACGAUGAAGAACGCAGCAAAAUGCGAUAAGUAAUGUGAAUUGCAGAAUACGUGAAUCAUCGAAUCUUCGAACGCAUAUUGCACUUUUUUAGUUUACUAAAAAAGCAUGUCUGUUUGAGUAUCAGUAAAAUAUUCUCAUAAAAAACUUUUUUUGUUUUUUAUGGUUAUGAGUGUUUUACAACGAUAAACAAGUUGUUUCACUUUAAUUCUUUGAAGUUUAAAAAAUCGUUAAAACUAAUUUUAAAAUGAUUUUUUAAAUUGGAUAAAAUUUUCCCGUAAAAAAGGAAUAACCUAAACAAUUUUAAAAAAUUUAAAAUUGGUUGAUUUUUUUAAAUCCCAAAAGGAAAAAAGUAAAAAUUAACUUGAUCUCAAAUCAGAUAAGAGUACCCGCUGAACUUAAGCAUAUCAAUAAGCGGAGGAAAAGAAACUAACUAGGAUUCCCUCAGUAACGGCGAGUGAAGCGGGAAGAGCUCAAAUUUGAAAUCUUCAAGGUUCUACCUUGACGAAUUGUAGUUUAAAGAAGUGUUUUCUGUUGGAAUAGUUUGGUAUAAGUUCUUUGGAAUAGGACAUCAUGGAGGGUGAGAAUCCCGUAACGACCAUUUAUUCCAGCUCUGUGAUACACUUUCAAAGAGUCGGAUUGUUUGGGAAUGCAGUCCAAAAUGGGUGGUAAAUUUCAUCUAAAGCUAAAUAUAGGCGAGAGACCGAUAGCGAACAAGUACCGUGAGGGAAAGAUGAAAAGAACUUUGAAAAGAGAGUUAAACAGUACGUGAAAUUGUCAAAAGGGAAGCGUUUGACACCAGUGUUGUUUUCUCGAAAAUCAAUUAAAAAUGGCUUGAUUUCGUGUAAGGCGACCUUAUCAGCGUUUUGCACUCUUUUCUUGUCCCUUUUUAAUGCACUUUUCGUUUAACAAGUCAACAUCAAUUUCUUUUGUUGUAAAAGAGUCAUUGGAAGGUGGCUUUCUUUCGGAGAAAGUGUUUAUAGCCUUGGCUUCUGCAAUCGGAGAGAUUGAGGUCUGCAGCGUAGAUCCUUCGGGUUAGAUGCAUUAGUGCUAAGUUAUAGCCUUUCAUAGACAACUUGUUGACUAUGAUCAGUCAUGUAGCUUACUCGCUGAUGUUAUUUUACCUACGCUUAGGAUGUU
rnacentral:misc_RNA from 1 species